GUGAUAAACCGGAGGAAGGUGGGGACGACGUCAGAUCAUCAUGCCCCUUAUGACCUGGGCAACACACGUGCUACAAUGGGAAGUACAACGAGUCGCAAACCGGCGACGGUAAGCUAAUCUCUUAAAACUUCUCUCAGUUCGGACUGGAGUCUGCAACUCGACUCCACGAAGGCGGAAUCGCUAGUAAUCGCGAAUCAGCAUGUCGCGGUGAAUACGUUCCCGGGUCUUGUACACACCGCCCGUCAAAUCAUGGGAGUCGGAAGUACCCAAAGUCGCUUGGCUAACUUUUAGAGGCCGGUGCCUAAGGUAAAAUCGAUGACUGGGAUUAAGUCGUAACAAGGUAGCCGUAGGAGAACCUGCGGCUGGAUCACCUCCUUUCUAAGGA
rnacentral:rRNA from 1 species